rnacentral:rRNA from 1 species
UGAUGAAUCUUCCACAAUGGGGGCAACCCUGAUGGAGCCACGCCGCGUGCAGGAUGAAGGCCUUCGGGUUGUAAACUGCUUUUGUACGGAACGAAAAGACUCUGGUUAAUACCUGGGGUCCAUGACGGUACCGUAAGAAUAAGCACCGGCUAACUACGUGCCAGCAGCCGCGGUAAUACGUAGGGUGCAAGCGUUAAUCGGAAUUACUGGGCGUAAAGCGUGCGCAGGCGGUUAUGCAAGACAGGUGUGAAAUCCCCGGGCUCAACCUGGGAACUGCAUUUGUGACUGCAUAGCUGGAGUGCGGCAGAGGGGGAUGGAAUUCCGCGUGUAGCAGUGAAAUGCGGUGAUAUGCGGAGGAACACCGAUGGCGAAGGCAAUCCCCUGGGCCUGCACUGACGCUCAUGCACGAAAGCGUGGGGAGCAAACA